UACGUAGGGCGCAAGCGUUAUCCGGAAUUAUUGGGCGUAAAGAGCUCGUAGGCGGUCUGUCGCGUCUGCUGUGAAAACUCAGGGCUUAACCCUGAGCUUGCAGUGGGUACGGGCAGACUAGAGUGCGGUAGGGGAGACUGGAAUUCCUGGUGUAGCGGUGAAAUGCGCAGAUAUCAGGAGGAACACCGGUGGCGAAGGCGGGUCUCUGGGCCGUAACUGACGCUGGAGGAG
rnacentral:rRNA from 1 species